rnacentral:rRNA from 1 species
CAUACAUGUCUAGUAUAGCAAUUAUACCGUGAAACUGCGAAUGGCUCAUUAAAUCAGUUAUCGUUUAUUUGAUAGUACCUUACUACAUGGAUAACCGUGGUAAUUCUAGAGCUAAUACAUGCUAAAAACCCCAACUUCGGGAGGGGUGUAUUUAUUAGAUAAAAAACCAACGCCCUUCGGGGCUUCUUGGUGAUUCAUAAUAACUUUACGGAUCGCAUGGCCUUGCGCCGGCGACGGUUCAUUCAAAUUUCUGCCCUAUCAACUUUCGAUGGUAAGGUAUUGGCUUACCAUGGUUUCAACGGGUAACGGGGAAUUAGGGUUCGAUUCCGGAGAGGGAGCCUGAGAAACGGCUACCACAUCCAAGGAAGGCAGCAGGCGCGCAAAUUACCCAAUCCCGACACGGGGAGGUAGUGACAAUAAAUACUGAUACAGGGCUCUUUUGGGUCUUGUAAUUGGAAUGAGUACAAUUUAAACCUCUUAACGAGGAACAAUUGGAGGGCAAGUCUGGUGCCAGCAGCCGCGGUAAUUCCAGCUCCAAUAGCGUAUAUUAAAGUUGUUGCAGUUAAAAAGCUCGUAGUUGAAACUUGGGUCUGGCUGGCAGGUCCGCCUCACCGCGUGUACUUGUCCGGCCGGGCCUUCCUUCUGGAGAACCUCAUGCCCUUCACUGGGCGUGUUGGGGACCAGGACUUUUACUUUGAAAAAAUUAGAGUGUUCAAAGCAGGCCUUUGCUCGAAUACGUUAGCAUGGAAUAAUAGAAUAGGACGUGCGGUCCUAUUUUGUUGGUUUCUAGGACCGCCGUAAUGAUUAAUAGGGACAGUCGGGGGCAUCAGUAUUCAAUUGUCAGAGGUGAAAUUCUUGGAUUUAUUGAAGACUAACUACUGCGAAAGCAUUUGCCAAGGAUGUUUUCAUUAAUCAGUGAACGAAAGUUAGGGGAUCGAAGACGAUCAGAUACCGUCGUAGUCUUAACCGUAAACUAUGCCGACUAGGGAUCGGGCGAUGUUCUUUUUCUGACUCGCUCGGCACCUUACGAGAAAUCAAAGUUUU